UACAGAGGGUGCGAGCGUUGUCCGGAAUCACUGGGCGUAAAGGGCGCGUAGGCGGCUCAGUAAGGUUGCGGUGAAAGCCCGGGGCUCAACCCCGGGUCGGCCGUGGCAACUGCUGGGCUGGAGCACUGUAGAGGCAGGUGGAAUUCCGGGUGUAGCGGUGGAAUGCGUAGAUAUCGUAAGGAAGACCAGUGGCGAAGGCGGGUCUCUGGACAGUUCCUGACGCUGAGGCACGAAGGUCAGGGGAGCAAACGGG
rnacentral:rRNA from 1 species